GGCUGCUGGCGGGCGGCGAGCGGCCAAUGGGCGAGGGAGCGAGGGGCGUGACCUCGCAACCGGCGAGGGGGCGAGACGGCCGACCGCUCGGGCACAGGGGUCGCGGUGCGGCAGCCCGGCGGCUCGGGCGCACGGCGCGUGCGCUGCCCUGCGCGGUGUCCUGGCCGCUCGGGUGCGCUGCGCGGCGGCCCGACGCACGUAGGCCGCCAGGCGGCCAGCUCCACCAAGCACCAGCAGACAGCAGUCCAGCACGCAAUGCAGGCGGGCGGAUGGCCGGACGGCAGAGGCAGCAAGCCAGUAGGCAAACAGGCUCAGGUUCACUUCCUACAGUUGAUGAAGAUAUGAUAGAUUGAUAGGCGGGGAUGAACGACUCGGCACUUGUUAGGUGCAAGGUUCAUCAUUUGUGAAGCCACUUUGGUUGGCAAGAAUUUUAUUUAGAUUAACCUUGUUCUGUACUGCAAGCUUGGUGAUACUUCUCUGUUUACGAAUUAAAAUGGUUACUACCAACUGUGCGUCUGUCUUCAAAGUUAGAUCAAAAGACUUUCUCCAUAUUGCCUGCUACAUGACUAUACAAUUGCCAUGUUUGAGAAAAGAUAUUGCAGCCAUUCCUUUCAAUGCAGGGUUUAUUUGAUGGUGGUGUCAUAUAUGGUCAUUGGCGAACUAACCUUAGGGUGUACUGAGUAAACGAGAACACAUAAUGUAGUGGGUAUCACUAAAAAUAGAUUUGACUGAUAAGGGACAUCUUUCAGGUGCCUAUCAGCAAAAGGUUACCUCGAAUUUGGUCAGCCUUCUUUCAAAUGACAUGGUAAAUAUGACUACCACUGCUCUACUUUCUAUCAAGUGCCAUAUGGAUAUUAACGAACUCUGCUUAUAUGAACAAUGAAAACAGCAUGCUCGGUGAGGUGUUAUAUUAAGUUCGAUAUUGUUUCAAAUUUCUUUUGUGCUAACUCAAAGGAUAAUUUAAUUAUGCCAGUUGCUGGUCUUGAUUGUGCUCGUGGCUUUCCCUCUGGAUACUGCUGGCAAGUAUCCAUGGAUACCUUGUGGUAUUGAAAUAAUUCAUGAUUGUUCUGCUGUUUGCAUCUUGCCUAGCUGAUAUUUGCAAUUGAGGUUACUAGGCAUUGCCAGUAUCAUAAUAACAUGCAUUUACUUCCUGCCUAGCUGAUGUUUGUAGGUUAUAUGCAUAUGCUUGUACUUGCAAUCUAUAAUGAUCUUACGAUCGUGCCAAAGGAGUAUCAAUUGCUUGGCCUUCGAGUUGUCUGUGAUAUAGUUAAUUUUUAAAAUAUAUAAUAUUACAACUAGCUUAAUCUCUAUGCAGUUUGAAAUGAUACAUAUUAAAGCUAUAUUUCUGAAUGCAGGUUGAAAUGAUCAAUGACUGAAUUCUUAUGUUUGGAUGCAUUCAAGAAUGGAUCAGGAAACAAUGAAUUUCAGGAUUCCUAGAUAAUCUUAAAUUUUCCUUUCCAAUGUAUAGACUCUGUACACUUCGCUACAAUGCAACAUUUGUUCUCUACAUGUAUACUUUUAUGUAUACUAUAUAUAUUUGUUUCCUUUCUACAAUCAAUGUA